UGAAACAUCUAAGUACCCGGAGGAAAGGACAUCAAUUGAUACUCCCCUAGUAGCGGCGAGCGAACGGGGACCAGCCGAGCCAUGAGUGUGGUUAGAAUGCGUUGGAAUGCGCAACCAAAGUGGGUGAUAGUCCCGUAUAAGAAGCAUGAUUGGACGUAUUAAGUAGGGCGGAACACGUGAAAUUCUGUCUGAAGAUCGGAGGACCACCUUCGAAGGCUAAGUACUCCUUACUGACCGAUAGUGAACCAGUACCGUGAGGGAAAGGUGAAAAGCACCCCGACGAGGGGAGUGAAACAGUACCUGAAACCGAACGCCUACAAUCAGUCGGAGCUUGACU
rnacentral:rRNA from 1 species